AUGGGGAGACAACGCUCAUCGCCGUCGAUGAGGAAGAAAGUUCAGAGGAAGCAUGUUAUGGAGCUGCUGCGUAUCACCGCAAGGCCUCCGCAAGAACGCUGGAGCAUCAGGGAAAGCGUGAACUUCAAGAUUGCCCUAGGAAGGUUUGGUGAGGACUGGCCAAGAGUUGCACAGUUCGUCAGCACAAAGACUACCCACCAGAUCAGUGUCUAUGCUGAAGAAUAUUAUCUUAAGCAUCCGCGGACACAAUCCAGGUGA
rnacentral:rRNA from 1 species